rnacentral:tRNA from 1 species
GGUGGCUCAGUGGUAGAGCACUUGCCUUGCAUGCAUGAGGCCCUGGGUUCGGUUCCGCAGCACCA